rnacentral:rRNA from 1 species
GAUGAACGCUGGCGGCGUGCCUAAUACAUGCAAGUCGAGCGAACAGACGAGGAGCUUGCUCCUUCGACGUUAGCGGCGGACGGGUGAGUAACACGUAGGUACCCUACCUAUAAGACUGGGAUAACUUCGGGAAACCGGAGCUAAUACCGGAUAAUAUUUCGAACCGCAUGGUUCGAUAGUGAAAGAUGGCUUUGCUAUCACUUAUAGAUGGACCUGCGCCGUAUUAGCUAGUUGGUAAGGUAACGGCUUAUCAAGGCAACGAUACGUAGCCGACCUGAGAGGGUGAUCGGCCACACUGGAACUGAGACACGGUCCAGACUCCUACGGGAGGCAGCAGUAGGGAAUCUUCCGCAAUGGGCGAAAGCCUGACGGAGCAACGCCGCGUGAGUGAUGAAGGUCUUCGGAUCGUAAAACUCUGUUAUUAGGGAAGAACAAACGUGUAAGUAACUGUGCACGUCUUGACGGUACCUAAUCAGAAAGCCACGGCUAACUACGUG